rnacentral:rRNA from 1 species
CAGCCGCCGCGGGAAUACGAGGGGGGCAAGCGUUGUUCGGAAUUAUUGGGCGUAAAGGGCGCGUAGGCGGUCUAACAAGUCUUAUGUGAAAUCUCUGGGCUCAACCCAGAGUCUGCAUGGGAAACUGUCGGGCUUGAGUAUGGGAGAGGUGAGUGGAAUUUCCGGUGUAGCGGUGAGAUGCGUAGAUAUCGGAAGGAACACCAGUGGCGAAAGCGGCUCACUGGACCAUAACUGACGCUGAGGCGCGAAAGCUAGGGGAGCAAACAGGAUUAGAUACCCGUGUAGUCCCUGUCUCUUAUAC